AGGCCUUUUUAUCAUUUUUGUGUGUGAGACACGGGGCAGGAGCCCUCACGUUCUGUUUGUUCGGUGAGGAGCCCCCUAUCAGUGAGCUGCCCGCAGGUGUUCUGAGCAGAUGAGAGCUCGCCAGGCGGGCGGGGCCGGGGCGGCGGGCAAGUCCCAGGAAGCAGUACUUCUGAGUCAGGAUGUGAUAAGCACGGAACGGCAGACGCACGGAGAAGGCAGAGGACUUCUCGCCAAAGCCGUCCCACGGGACUUCGCCGGGAGGAACUGCGUCCGGGACAAGGGCCGAGCUGGGUCUGCAGCUUCCCCAGGAAUUGUCACGAGCUGGGCCGUCUUCAGCGCCCUCGCUGUGGGAAAGGGCCGCCUUCUUGAUGCCAGCGGGGGACUUCUGUCUGACGGACUGCACCGGGCUCAUGGGGGCUUCCCAAGUGCUCUUCCUUCCAGAAAGCUCUGGGACACAGGAAGCAGGCAGCACUGCCCCAGGGAAAUAAAAAUAAAAUGUGGACCCAACAUUUAGAGGGAAGGAGACACCGUGGCAUUCGUGCCUAUUGUUUGGCAUUUUAUGCGCCACAAAGUGAGAACUAAAUUGUAGGCUUCGCAGCAUUGCUGUGAGGGGACGGAACCCCACACUUGCUUAUCCCAGGAGAUGAUAAAAAGAAAU